AUACUUUGGCAGUACAUAUACAAAAAUAGGAUUGAUACAGAGAAAUUACUAUAGGCCAUGAGCAAGAAUGACAUGCAGAUUCAUGAAAUGUUCCUUAUUUUU